GCGGAGGAUCAUUACAGUAGUCACCCAGGUUGCCGCAAGGCCUCCUGGGUAACCUACCACCCUUUGUUUAUUACACUUUGUUGCUUUGGCAAGCCUGCCCUCGGGCUGCUGGCUCCGGCCGGCGAGCGCUUGCCAGAGGACCUAAACUCUGUUUGUCUAUACUGUCUGAGUACUAUAUAAUAGUUAAAACUUUCAACAACGGAUCUCUUGGUUCUGGCAUCGAUGAAGAACGCAGCGAAAUGCGAUAAGUAAUGUGAAUUGCAGAAUUCAGUGAAUCAUCGAAUCUUUGAACGCACAUUGCGCCCCCUGGUAUUCCGGGGGGCAUGCCUGUCCGAGCGUCAUUACAACCCUCAAGCUCAGCUUGGUAUUGGGCCCCGCCGACCCGGCGGGCCCUAAAGUCAGUGGCGGUGCCGUCCGGCUCCGAGCGUAGUAAUUCUUCUCGCUCUGGAGGUCCGGUCGUGUGCUCGCCAGCAACCCCCAAUUUUUUUCAGGUUGACCUCGGAUCAGGUAGGGAUACCCGCUGAACUUAAGCAUAUCAAUAAGCGGAGGAAAAGAAACCAACAGGGAUUGCCCCAGUAACGGCGA
rnacentral:rRNA from 1 species